AUCGCUUCUCGGCCUUUUGGCUAAGAUCAAGUGUAGUAUCUGUUCUUAUCAGUUUAAUAUCUGAUAUGUCCUCUAUCCGAGGACAAUAUAUUAAAUGGAGUUUUGGAGCUUGGAGUUGUAAUAGGAGCUUACUNNNN
rnacentral:snRNA from 1 species